rnacentral:miRNA from 1 species
GGGUUGGCCGAAAAGUUUGUUUGGGUUUUUCCAUUACAUAUUAUGGAAAACCUGAACAAACCUUUAGGUCAACCCCAU